CUUGGGCUUCACGCAUGCUACAAUGGCCGGUAACGAAAGGGCUGCGAUACCGCGAGGUGGAGCGAACUCCCAAGAAGCCGGUCUCAGUUCGGAUUGGGGUCUGCAACUCGACCCCAUGAAGUCGGAGUCGCUAGUAAUCGCAGAUCAGCAACGCUGCGGUGAAUACGUUCCCGGGCCUU
rnacentral:rRNA from 1 species